AGGAAGCUUGCUUUCUCCGCCGGCGACCGGCGCACGGGUGAGUAACACGUAUGCAACCUGCCCCUGUCAGGGGGACAACCCGCCGAAAGGCGGGCUAAACCCGCGUACAUGCCACCGGGCAUCCCGGAGGCAGGAAAGGCUUCGGCCGGACAGGGAUGGGCAUGCGGCGCAUUAGGCAGUAGGCGGGGUAACGGCCCACCUAACCGACGAUGCGUAGGGGUUCUGAGAGGAAGGUCCCCCACACUGGUACUGAGACACGGACCAGACUCCUACGGGAGGCAGCAGUGAGGAAUAUUGGUCAAUGGUCGGGAGACUGAACCAGCCAAGCCGCGUGAGGGAGGAAGGUACAGAGUAUCGUAAACCUCUUUUGUCAGGGAACAAAGGCGGGGACGUGUCCCCGGAUGAGUGUACCUGAAGAAAAAGCAUCGGCUAACUCCGUGCCAGCAGCCGCGGUAAUACGGAGGAUGCGAGCGUUAUCCGGAUUUAUUGGGUUUAAAGGGUGCGCAGGCGGUCUGUUAAGUCAGCGGUCAAAGCCCGGGGCUCAACCCCGGCCCGCCGUUGAAACUGGCAGUCUCGAGUUGGAGAGAAGUAUGCGGAAUGCGCGGUGUAGCGGUGAAAUGCAUAGAUAUCGCGCAGAACUCCGAUUGCGAAGGCAGCAUGCCGGCUCCACACUGACGCUGAGGCACGAAAGCGUG
rnacentral:rRNA from 1 species